GACAUGGACUCAGUGGUGAGGCUGCAUCCAAGCCUGACACAGCACAAGGCCUGGGCUUGCCCCAGAAACACCCUGGGGCCCUGCCCCUCUUGCCAGGGACACCAGGUGUGUGGCAGGCAGACUCAACCAGGCAGGAUACAAGUGUAGAGGGAGCUCAGUGGGGGGAGAGGGCUCUGUGUGGGA